GUGUAUUAUUUGUAUGAGAAUAUAGGCUCUGUUUGUGUGCAAAAUCGAGAGAACUGUCAAAAACAACGAAUAAUGAUGCAGAAAAAUCAGUUUGGUGGAAUAUAUACUGAAGAAUACUACAGCGAGGCAUUGACACAAUCAUAUCUGUAAAAGAGAAUUUAAUAGUGGUAAAGGAUGUCUUCUGAAAUUUUUCUGGGAAAUGGUGGAACCUUACAUCGUUCCUUGAUGUUUAUAUUGAAACUUGGCUGGCAGUCAAGAUUCCGUUUGCCAGUACUUCUGGUCAUUGUCUUUGUUGCCAUGGAUUACAGAUUACAAUUAGAGAUAGAAUUUGGAGACAAUGCAGAUCAACAUAAUCAUAUAUAAUUUGAACAGAGAAGAACAGAUAGAUGCAUAAGACUGUUACUUUAUAUAUUUAACAUAUGCAUAUUAUAUGUGCAAAAGGUUUAGAGGGAAAUAAAAUAUAAACUGUAUUUAUUUAUAUAAUAUCAAGAAUGUAAUACAUAUGUGAACUGUUGACAAAUAUUAGCAAUUGUAUCAUACAUAUUUUAUAAGUGUAUGUCUACUCAUACAUGGAAUUUUUUGCUCAGUACUUGCCAAUUUGUAAUGCUUGUACUUUUAUUAGACUGACAUUGCAUUUAUCAUAUUAGAAUUUAAGAAUUUUACAUUGCGUCUUAUUGUAAUAUAUAUUUAUCAUAUAUGCUAUUUAAAUUAAGUUUAUGAUUUUAUUACAAAAAUAAGUAGUAAUAAGGGGGUGGAUUUAGGUUUAUUUGUUUUAUGCAAGGUUGUAAGAUAAAUUUUUUCUAAGACAUAAAAUUUGACAUGAAGUCAAGAAUCAGUAAUUUUUACAAAAAAUUAUAUAUUUUACGCUAAAAUAAGGCAAUUAUUUAUUUUGUAAUUAAUUUUUGUAAAUUGUAUGUAUAAUGCAAGUUGUAAUAUGAAUAAAUAAACAAAAAAUCAUUUAUUUUAUAUUAAAAA